AUUGUGCUGGAGUUCAUGGCGCCGUGGUCCGAGCCAAGCAAGGUCAUGAAGAUCCCGUAUAGGCAAAUCGCCGGCAAUAGUUCUAAAGACAAAGUCAACUUCUACACGCUCAACGUCGACAAGUUCAGAGUAUGUACUGUAUGGAUGGUGCCGAGCUAGCAGCGUCGGCAAAUCAUUAACUCGAUCGUUGGAUGAUUUCGGCGCCGCCGUCCUGAUUCCUGAUGCAUAUGAGUGCAGGAUUUGGCGGAGGAAGUUGGUGUGGAGGCGCUGCCGACGUACGUUCUGGUCAAGGAUGAGGACGUGAAGGACAUGAUCGUUGGCAUGAAGCGGCAGGAGCUCGAGAAGGCCAUAGGAGACUGGAGCAAGUGAUCCGAUCAUCCAUGCAUGCGUCGAUCGAGAACGGGAAAAGAAUUGAAUGAUCCAUAAGUAACCCCACUACUGUCCCAUGCAUGUAUUGUAUACGUAUAUUCAAACUCGUGUGCAUGUACACAUCCUAGCUCAUC
rnacentral:lncRNA from 1 species